rnacentral:rRNA from 1 species
AGUGAACGCUGGCGGUAGGCCUAACACAUGCAAGUCGAACGGCAGCACAGGAGAGCUUGCUCUCUGGGUGGCGAGUGGCGGACGGGUGAGGAGUACAUCGGAAUCUACUCUGUCGUGGGGGAUAACGUAGGGAAACUUACGCUAAUACCGCAUACGACCUACGGGUGAAAGCAGGGGAUCUUCGGACCUUGCGCGAUUGAAUGAGCCGAUGUCGGAUUAGCUAGUUGGCGGGGUAAAGGCCCACCAAGGCGACGAUCCGUAGCUGGUCUGAGAGGAUGACCCGCCACACUGGAACUGAGACACGGACCAGACUCCUACGGGAGGCAGCAGUGGGGAAUAUUGGACAAUGGGCGCAAGCCUGAUCCAGCCAUACCGCGUGGGUGAAGAAGGCCUUCGGGUUGUAAAGCCCUUUUGUUGGGAAAGAAAUCCAGCUGGCUAAUACCCGGUUGGGAUGACGGUACCCAAAGAAUAAGCACCGGCUAACUUCGUGCCAGCCGCCGCCGUAA